AUUGAACGCUGGCGGCAGGCUUAACACAUGCAAGUCGAGCGGAGAUGAGGUGCUUGCACCUUAUCUUAGCGGCGGACGGGUGAGUAAUGCUUAGGAAUCUGCCUAUUAGUGGGGGACAACAUUCCGAAAGGAAUGCUAAUACCGCGUACGUCCUACGGGAGAAAGCAGGGGAUCUUCGGACCUUGCGCUAAUAGAUGAGCCUGAGUCGGAUUAGCUAGUUGGUGGGGUAAAGGCCUACCAAGGCGACGAUCUGUAGCGGGUCUGAGAGGAUGAACCGCCACACUGGGACUGAGACACGGGCCAGACUCCUACGGGAGGCAGCAGAGGGGAAUAUUGGACAAUGGGGGAAACCCUGAUCCAGCCAUGCCGCGUGUGUGAAGAAGGCCUUAUGGUUGUAAAGCACUUUAAGCGAGGAGGAGGCUACUGAGACUAAUACUCUUGGAUAGUGGACGUUACUCGCAGAAUAAGCACCGGCUAACUCUGUGCCAGCCGCCGCAGUAACAC
rnacentral:rRNA from 1 species